CACAUGCAAGUCGAACGGCAGCGCGGGGCAACCUGGCGGCGAGUGGCGAACGGGUGAGUAAUAUAUCGGAACAUACCCUAGAGUGGGGGAUAACGUAGCGAAAGUUACGCUAAUACCGCAUACGCACUAAGGUGGAAAGCGGGGGAUCGCAAGACCUCGUGCUCAUGGAGUGGCCGAUAUCUGAUUAGCUAGUUGGUAGGGUAAAAGCCUACCAAGGCGACGAUCAGUAGCUGGUUUGAGAGAACGACCAGCCACACUGGAACUGAGACACGGUCCAGACUCCUACGGGAGGCAGCAGUGGGGAAUUUUGGACAAUGGGGGCAACCCUGAUCCAGCAAUGCCGCGUGAGUGAAGAAGGCCCUCGGGUUGUAAAGCUCUUUUGUCAGGGAAGAAACGGUGUUUCCUAAUACGGAAUGCUAAUGACGGUACCUGAAGAAUAAGCACCGGCUAACUACGUGCCAGCAGCCGCGGUAAUACGUAGGGUGCAAGCGUUAAUCGGAAUUACUGGGCGUAAAGCGUGCGCAGGCGGUUUUAUAAGUCUGAUGUGAAAUCCCCGGACUCAACCUGGGAACUGCAUUGGAGACUGUAAGGCUAGAGUGUGUCAGAGGGGGGUAGAAUUCCACGUGUAGCAGUGAAAUGCGUAGAUAUGUGGAGGAAUACCGAUGGCGAAGGCAGCCCCCUGGGAUAACACUGACGCUCAUGCACGAAAGCGUGGGGAGCAAAACAGGAUUAGAUACCCUGGUAGUCCACGCCCUAAACGAUGUCUACUAGUUGUCGGGUCUUAAUUGACUUGGUAACGCAGCUAACGCGUGAAGUAGACCGCCUGGGGAGUACGGUCGCAAGAUUAAAACUCAAAGG
rnacentral:rRNA from 1 species